GAUGUCCUAAGCUACCUUUUAUGCGCAAGUGCAAUGGUACUGGAUAACGUGUUGGAAUGUACUUUAGUUCUCACAAGUAACAAGUUAGUAUUUAGCUAGCUAGUACAAGAUACAAGUUAGUGAUCACCUCCCUUUCUCUCUCCUCUCGCUCUCACACACAGCAGUCAUUUUUCAAUCAAAAGAUUGAAUACAAAUGAAAAUAAAACUUGAUCAACAUCUAACCUGGCCAUGAUGAUGAAAUGAACUUCGUCAUCACUAUGUGUGGACUAAUCCUAAAACUUAGAUAUAUCCCUUAUUUGAUUAGCUCGCUAGCACAAGAGGCUAAGCCUUUGCUUGAAUAGAUUUGGAGGGUUCUGCUCAGGUGGGUGCAUGAAUUUGCAGUUAGGGCAAGCAGGAGAUGACUUGCAAAGCAUCACCAACAUGUGGCACCUUGUGCACACAGUGGCUACCAUCUCUUCCUCAUCAUCUCCUUCAAAUGCUAACCAUGACGGUGACCGCUUAAGUCCUUCUGAAUUCUUAUUAUCUUUACUUGAAUCCAUGAACAAAUGGCCCAAACCCUGCAUGGAGCUAGCAAAAUUAUGCUGGUUGUUUUCGUUGUUUUUCCUCUGUGACUCGCAUGGCUGCAGGUUUAGCUCAAGGUCUAAGCUCAUAUGGCAAGGACUUGGUGGCUCUGGGCUCCUCCUUGGAUCUCUAGUUGUUCUCUUCUGUGUCCUUGUAUUAUAGAAGUGUAUCUGCCCUGACUGCAGGCAAGAAGAGAAGAUGCAACACGACAUAACUAAUUAAGGACUUAGCUGAAUGAUGAAAUCAAUCAUAUUUCAGUUCAAGAAAAAACACUUGAUAUAAAGCAGAUAUAAUAUACCUGAAUGUCGAGGCAUCGUUGCCACUCCAAAGGCAAUGGAGUCUCAAGUUGAAGCUCUAUUUCAAAGAAAGAUUUUGUGAUUUCAGGAGGUUUUGAUCUUUUCUCGAAAAUCCCUUCAGUUAUUUGUGCAGGCUCGUCAUCCCACUUUCUUUUCUUGGAUGAAAUAUCAAGCUCUGGAAUUGUCGUCUUUCUUCCAUUUGGAGAGGUGGGUUCUUGAAGGGAAACCAUAGCUUCAAUUCAAAGAAACUCAAAACUCUAUAGCUUUUCACUAGCAGUUUAGUAAAUGAUCUCCAAGGUGAAACACUGAAACGCUUGGAUGGUUAUAUACAAGGCAGAGUAGUGGUCAGUCACAUAUAUACUGCAAGGGCAGAAUCUUGUAGGACAAAUUUGAAAGCAAAAGGGCCUACCUAUAUGUAUGACGUGCAACCUAAGUUGGCUCUUCAAUUACUCUCACAGCUGACAGCUUCAAGUUGAUCCUGAAGGCUAAGAUUUAUAUGCAUCAUAUGCAAGCCUAAGCAGCUCUGGUUGGUCAAAAUUAUAUAAGCAUUCACCUGACCUGGCGGCACCAAAAGUACCCAACACAUAAGACCAUAAUUAUUAUUGCUUGCAAGUCCUGGAAAGCGAGCUGUGUAGCCAUUAGCCAAGCCAAAAUACAGAAGCUAAAAGCUUUCUUUA
rnacentral:misc_RNA from 1 species